AUUGAACGCUGGCGGCAGGCCUAACACAUGCAAGUCGAGCGAGCGGCGGACGGGUGAGUAUUGUGUGGGAAACAGCCCGAUGGAGGGGGAUAUCUCCUGGAAACGGUAGCUCUUACCGCAUACCCUCUGGUAUGCCCCGAUGGGGUUAGCUCGUAGGUGGGGUAAUGGCUCACCUAGGCGACGCUCCCUAGCUGGUCUGAGAGGAUGACCAGCCACACUGGAACUGAGACACGGUCCAGACUCCUACGGGAGGCAGCAGUGGGGAAUAUUGCACAAUGGGCGCAAGCCUGAUGCAGCCAUGCCGCGUGUAUGAAGAAGGCCUUCGGGUUGUAAAGUACUUUCAGCGGGGAGGCGUUACUCGCAGAAGAAGCACCGGCUAACUCCGUGCCAGCAGCCGCGGUAAUAC
rnacentral:rRNA from 1 species